AGCGACAGAAGAAGCACCGGCUAACUCCGUGCCAGCAGCCGCGGUAAUACGGAGGGUGCGAGCGUUAAUCGGAAUUACUGGGCGUAAAGACGCAUGCAGGUGGUUUGGUUAAGUUCAGAUGUGAAAGACCCGGGGCGUCAACCUACCGGAAUAAGCAUUUGUAAACUAGGCAGACUAGAGUACUGUAGAGGGGGGUAGGGAAGUUUACAGGUGUAGCGGUGAAAUAGCGUAGAGAUCUGAAGGAAUACCGGUGGCGAAGGCGGCCCCCUCGGACAGAUACUGACACUCAGAUGCGAAAGCGUGGGGAGCAAACAGGAUUAGAUACCCUGGUAG
rnacentral:rRNA from 1 species